GGAUCCUGCCCUCCCUGUGGCUUCUCCUGCUUGGGGGGCCUGCCUGCCUGAAGACCCAGGAACACCCCAGCUGCCCAGGACCCAGGGAACUGGAAGCCAGCAAAGUUGUCCUCCUGCCCAGUUGUCCCGGAGCUCCAGGAAGUCCUGGGGAGAAGGGAGCCCCAGGUCCUCAAGGUGAGAGGGGCUGGGGAGCGGGCUGGGAUCUUGGGAAUGGGGAAGGCAGGAAAGUAGCAAUUUUUGUCUGUGCUGAGGGGCCACGACAAAGGAGCAAGGAACCUACUCUGUGCCAGCUCCAGGCUGGGCACCCGGCAUCCUAAGAUCAACUCUGCCAGGUAAGUGGUUUCAUCCCCAUUCUGCUGAGGAGGAAAGGGAGGUUCAGAGAGGAUAAGAUAUUUGCCCGCAAUCACAAAGUGAGUGAAGGGUGAAACUGGGAUUUGAACCUCUGGCUCCAAGUCUCUUGUUUCUUUUUGGUCCUGGGCAUGGGGUGGGACUCAGGAAAUCUCUGCCUUUGUGAUUUCAGGGCCACCUGGACCACCAGGCAAGAUGGGCCCCAAGGGUGAGCCAGGUGAGUAAGUGGGGCUGGAGGCCUCCCCGCUUUCUUUGCCUCUGUCCCUGGACUCUAGGGUGGGAUCUCUGCUUGGCUGCUGUGCCUAUGAUGGCUCUCUCACAGGGGAAUGGAUGGCUGGGAGGAGUGGGAAGGAUUAGGAGAAGGGCCUGGCUACCCUAUGAUGGCCCUCCUAUUGGGGAUGGAGGGCUGGGAGGAGUGGGGAGGAUUAGGAGAAGGGCCUGGGUACCCUAUGAAGGCCCUCCUACAGGGUUUGGAAGGCUGGGAGGAGUGGAGAGGAUUAGGAGAAGGGCCUGGGUACCCUAUGAUGGCCCUCCUACAGGGUAUGGAAGGCUGGGAGGAGUGGGAAGGAUUCGGAAAAGGGCCUGGGUACCGGCUCCACUGGUGGCUCAGCGCUGGGGUGCUGAGACAUCAGAGCCAACACUCAUCCCUUCU
rnacentral:lncRNA from 10 species